GUUUUGUGUGACAGGUGAGAAGGUUAGCACUCCACUUGACAAGGAUGGAGAGUCCCUUUGGGCCUGACAACACACAUACAAGGCAUUGCCAUCUACCACGUAGCAUCUAACUUUAUAA
ensembl:snRNA